GCUGGAUGGAGGCGGAGACGUUUCGAUUUCAGCUUCAGCGAGCUCGCGCUUGAGUGUGUCACGACGAGUGCACAAUAUUUUUCAUUUUUCGGUUAGUUGCGUGAGGUACUUCCCCGUGUACCGCAAAGCCCAAAGACGGCAAAUUGCGUAUCUGGACGCUUAACAAAUUCAGACCCACUAAUGAAGGAACCAUUAGAAAGCACUGUUACACACCCACCGAGACUGGAUACCAUUUUGACUGGGCGGCGAGGGACAGUAACGUGAUGACCGUGGUAUUUGCCAUCAUGACAGAGGGAGCCAGUGAGUGACCUCACACAGAGCGCUAACGCUGAGCCUCUGAGCACCGUUUCAUAAGAGAUUUUUUAUUUAUUUAUUACAUAUAUAUUUUAUCAUAGAACACUUAAAUGUAAAUUAAAAGAAUGAUUUGGUAAGAGUAAAAUGGGAGUAAUCUGUCUUGUUUAUAAUGUCAGCAGCAAUGCAGGUUUCAGUGGACAGAUGGAAGGCAGCCAUCAUCUGCACUGUUGUGGAAAUGUAUCUUACAAGAUCUCAGAAAGUUCCUGCUGUAAUGGAAAUGUAACUCUGGGAUUAAGCCAGCUGGUGGCUGACUGUUGUGAUUCUGUAGCUUACAAUCCCCUUAACGAGAUUUGCUGUGAUGGAAGGAUUCGGACUCGAAGCAGCACUCACAUGAAAUGCUGUGGCAAAGUCAUGUACCGGACAACGACUCAUUUGUGUUGUGGUGGCGGCAACAUAUUUCAAUGGAAGGAAAAUCAUUCUUGUUGUGGCAAAGAAACGUAUGACAUGACAACCCACUGCUGCUGUACUAACCUUACACUAGAAGUAAAGCCGAAAAAUGAAACUUGCUGUCCAAAAGCAAAAGACACUGAUGAAAGAACAGAAUGCCAGCAAGGCUCUCUUCCCACCCGAAAACUCUCCAAAAACUCAGAAUCGAAGUGUGGAUCAACACCCUACAAUCCCCAGAAACAAAUUUGUUGCUCAGUGAAUAUUCAUGAGAAGGCUUCAGCACUUACUAAGUGCUGUGGCAAAGAUGUUUACACUCUGUCAGAUGACAAUGUGCUGUGCUGUAAUGGAAUCCUUCAUCUCAAUGUGCCUGAGCAGUCAGAGUGUGUUGGAGGUGUUAUAUAUACUCCAUCAAACACUAUUUGCCAAAUGUCUGCUCGUCCCCGUCUUGGUAGGCACUGCUGUGGAAGACAAACCUUCAAUCCUCACACACAUAUUUGCUGUAACGGAUGCAGGUAGGCCUACAGAUUACAAAAAUUUGAUAUGAUUUAAAAGCAACUUUUAUGCCAGAUUUAC
rnacentral:lncRNA from 1 species